rnacentral:rRNA from 1 species
UCGAUCUCAAAUCAGGUAGGACUACCCGCUGAACUUAAGCAUAUCAAUAAGCGGAGGAAAAGAAACUAACAAGGAUUCCCCUAGUAACUGCGAGUGAAGCGGGAAGAGCUCAAAUUUAAAAUCUGGCGUGCCUCUGGUCGUCCGAGUUGUAGUCUAGAGAAGUGUUUUCCGUGUUGGACCGUGUAUAAGUCUCUUGGAACAGAGCGUCAUAGAGGGUGAGAAUCCCGUCUUUGACACGGACUACCAAUGCUUUGUGAUACACUCUCAA